rnacentral:lncRNA from 1 species
UGUUUCUGCUUACCAGGCCCUCGGUGCAGCAAAAGUGCUGUAGAGGACAUUUUGACAAAGAACAGAACAGGCAAACUAAGAACUGCCACAGGCUGAAGACCCCUAAGUGUCGUGUGUACCUGCACCCGGGUGGCAUGACCAGCUCUGUGGCUUGGUGAGAAGGAUUUGGCUCUCUCUGGCAAACUGGGUUUCCCCUCGCCCUGUUGCCUGGCACACAGCAGAUGGUCUGAUGUGAACAUCCAAGUGGAGAUCAUGAAGAUAUGCAGGAAAGACUCAGGUUCAUGAGUCUUCAUCAGUGGGAAUUGCAGAAACGUUUGAAAUUAGAUAUCUCUUGGAGGGCCACUUACCGGGCUAAUGUUCUGAGGAGAUCAUCUGUGGCUGUGUGUUGAAGCAGCUAGAGCAUCUCUCUGGAAGAGGCACUUCAGUAUGACCUGGGUUUGGUUCUAAGCAUCUACAUAGUAGCUUGCAGUUUGCAUCCAUUCACCCUCCAGUUCCAGGGCAUCUAACACCCUCUUCAGAAUGCCAAAGGAUGUCAAACACACGUGUGCAUGCAAACACAUUAACAUUAAAGAAAAAUGAUGACGACGAUGAUGAUGAUGACAAUGAUAAGGAAAGGAAGAAGAGGGAGGAUAAAAAGAGGAAGGAGGAGGAUAAAAAGAGGAAGAAGGAGGAGGAGAACCAAU